rnacentral:rRNA from 1 species
CCUACGGGAGGCAGCAGUGGGGAAUAUUGCACAAUGGAGGAAACUCUGAUGCAGCGACGCCGCGUGAGGGAAGAAGGUUUUCGGAUUGUAAACCUCAAUAUUCGGGGACGAUAAUGACGGUACCCGAGGAGGAAGCCACGGCUAACUACGUGCCAGCAGCCGCGGUAAAACGUAGGUGGCAAGCGUUAUCCGGAAUUACUGGGUGUAAAGGGAGCGCAGGUGGGAUUUUAAGUCGAAUGUGAAAUGCACGGGCUCAACCCGUGAAUUGCGUUCGAUACUAUAGUUCUUGAGUGGAGUAGAGGCAGGCGGAAUUCCCGGUGUAGCGGUGGAAUGCGUAGAUAUCGGGAGGAAUACCAGUGGCGAAGGCGGCCUGCUGGGCUCUAACUGACACUGAGGCUCGAAAGUG